GGAGACCCGUUACUAUCCAACACCUUCACUGAGACUGGCAGCCACUGGCCACAGGGACCUACUGGGCCCCCAGGUCCUCCAGGGCCUAUGGGUCCCCCUGGACCUCCUGGGCCCACUGGUGCCCCUGGGAGCCCUGGGCACACGGGACCCCCAGGCCCCAUCGGACCCAAAGGAAUCCCUGGCCACCCAGGAGAGAAGGGCGAGAGAGGACUGCGUGGGGAGCCUGGUCCCCAAGGUUCUGUGGGACAGCAGG